GUGGGGAAUAUUGGACAAUGGGCGAAAGCCUGAUCCAGCAAUGCCGCGUGAGUGAUGAAGGCCUUAGGGUUGUAAAGCUCUUUUACCAGGGAUGAUAAUGACAGUACCUGGAGAAUAAGCUCCGGCUAACUCCGUGCCAGCAGCCGCGGUAAUACGGAGGGAGCUAGCGUUGUUCGGAAUUACUGGGCGUAAAGCGCGCGUAGGCGGCGAUUUAAGUCAGAGGUGAAAGCCCGGGGCUCAACCCCGGAAUAGCCUUUGAGACUGGAUUGCUAGAAUCCUGGAGAGGUGAGUGGAAUUCCGAGUGUAGAGGUGAAAUUCGUAGAUAUUCGGAAGAACACCAGUGGCGAAGGCGGCUCACUGGACAGGUAUUGACGCUGAGGUGCGAAAGCGUGGGGAGCAAACAGGAUUAGAAACCCGAGUAGUCC
rnacentral:rRNA from 1 species